AUGAACGCUAGCUACAGGCUUAACACAUGCAAGUCGAGGGGCAGCAUGGUCUUAGCUUGCUAAGGCCGAUGGCGACCGGCGCACGGGUGAGUAACACGUAUCCAACCUGCCGUCUACUCUUGGACAGCCUUCUGAAAGGAAGAUUAAUACAAGAUGGCAUCAUGAGUCCGCAUGUUCACAUGAUUAAAGGUAUUCCGGUAGACGAUGGGGAUGCGUUCCAUUAGAUAGUAGGCGGGGUAACGGCCCACCUAGUCUUCGAUGGAUAGGGGUUCUGAGAGGAAGGUCCCCCACAUUGGAACUGAGACACGGUCCAAACUCCUACGGGAGGCAGCAGUGAGGAAUAUUGGUCAAUGGGCGAGAGCCUGAACCAGCCAAGUAGCGUGAAGGAUGACUGCCCUAUGGGUUGUAAACUUCUUUUAUAAAGGAAUAAAGUCGGGUAUGGAUACCCGUUUGCAUGUACUUUAUGAAUAAGGAUCGGCUAACUCCGUGCCAGCAGCCGCGGUAAUACGGAGGAUCCGAGCGUUAUCCGGAUUUAUUGGGUUUAAAGGGAGCGUAGAUGGAUGUUUAAGUCAGUUGUGAAAGUUUGCGGCUCAACCGUAAAAUUGCAGUUGAUACUGGAUAUCUUGAGUGCAGUUGAGGCAGGCGGAAUUCGUGGUGUAGCGGUGAAAUGCUUAGAUAUCACGAAGAACUCCGAUUGCGAAGGCAGCCUGCUAAGCUGCAACUGACAUUGAGGCUCGAAAGUGUGGGUAUCAAACAGGAUUAGAUACCCUGGUAGUCCACACGGUAAACGAUGAAUACUCGCUGUUUGCGAUAUACUGCAAGCGGCCAAGCGAAAGCGUUAAGUAUUCCACCUGGGGAGUACGCCGGCAACGGUGAAACUCAAAGGAAUUGACGGGGGCCCGCACAAGCGGAGGAACAUGUGGUUUAAUUCGAUGAUACGCGAGGAACCUUACCCGGGCUUGAAUUGCAGAGGAAGGAUUUGGAGACAAUGACGCCCUUCGGGGUCUCUGUGAAGGUGCUGCAUGGUUGUCGUCAGCUCGUGCCGUGAGGUGUCGGCUUAAGUGCCAUAACGAGCGCAACCCUUGUUGUCAGUUACUAACAGGUUCCGCUGAGGACUCUGACAAGACUGCCAUCGUAAGAUGUGAGGAAGGUGGGGAUGACGUCAAAUCAGCACGGCCCUUACGUCCGGGGCUACACACGUGUUACAAUGGGGGGUACAGAGGGCCGCUACCACGCGAGUGGAUGCCAAUCCCCAAAACCUCUCUCAGUUCGGACUGGAGUCUGCAACCCGACUCCACGAAGCUGGAUUCGCUAGUAAUCGCGCAUCAGCCACGGCGCGGUGAAUACGUUCCCGGGCCUUGUACACACCGCCCGUCAAGCCAUGGGAGCCGGGGGUACCUGAAGUGCGUAACCGCGAGGAGCGCCCUAGGGUAAAACUGGUGACUGGGGCU
rnacentral:rRNA from 1 species